rnacentral:lncRNA from 1 species
AAGAAUCGAAAGUUAAACUAAGCAACAUUAGCUUCAAGAACAUCCGUGGCACAUCUGCGCUUCCAGAAGCUAUCAAGUUUAUUUGCAGCGGUUCUUCGCCAUGUCAAAAUGUGGAACUUGCAGACAUUGAUAUUAAGCACACCGGACCUGAACCCGCAACAUCCCAAUGUUUGAAUGUCAAGCCUAUAACUAGUGGCAAAUUAAACCCGACUCCAUGUUCCAGCCCUGUCCCAAAAACCCUAAGUGCCACCGCUUAAAGCAUACCAACAAAUUCAAUGCAAUUGUAAUUAAUAUAUUUAUUCAUAUUACAUAAAAACAGUUCUUUUUCAUUUUAAUUCUUUUCCAUUAUUAAACUUUUGCUAUGAAUUCAAUGCUUUUAAUACACACAUCAAUACAAAGAGCCGAAAUGUGAUAAAAUUUAGUUAAUUUAAACUAAUAACAAAACCAUCACUGAGUUUCUAGAUUGAAUUAGAAUUAAUUAUUGAAAUUUUCUUUAUCUACGUACAAUUUUUUAUAAAAACCAUCUCCCAACACACCAGUUUUAAGGAAAAAUAAAAUAUUAAAUUUGAGAUUUUAAUUAAAAUGAAAGUUCGUCGUCCAAAUUUUCUGAACAACAUAUUCCUGUAUUAUUUGUGUGCUUAAACAUAUGAUUAUAUUUGUGCAUUGGUUUGUUUCUUUUUCUGUUGACGUAACAUUUUUCAUGAAAGAAGAUGUGAUGGUUACCAUGAGAUAUGAUAAUAUCAUUUUGGGUGAACGGAUAUAAAUGAAAGGGAUUGGGGAUAUCCUAUGAGGCUAUAGCACAUACGAAAAAUUCAUUGGACGAGCACUUGGUGAGUUGUUUUCAUAAUGAGUUGUAAUAAGAAGAGGUCGGUCAUGACACUUAAGUACAAACUAUUCGAGCUCUAAUUAUAUAUCCAGUGGGCCCCUCUAUUAGCUCUAUAGAUUCUCGAAGGUUUGCAUUUGAAUUGAUGAGAUGAAUAAAUAAAAUUGAUGAAUUACAGAAAAGGAUUGAAUGUAUCACUAUCCGUAGUGAAUGGAAUUUCUCGUUAUAAAAGAGAGAUGACUUAAAGACUAAAUUAAUUUAUUCGAAUUAUUAUUUAAUUAAUAGAAAUCACUGAACCGGUGUUUGAAGUAAAAAUUAAAUUAAUUAAUAAACGCAAUCUGGUUGAACAAGAUAAUUAAAUUCAUUUACUCAUAGAUUCUAGUGUGGUAAAUAUGUCAUGAAUUUAACGGAACUAGAACUAGGUUUGGAAAAUAAUUUAAUUGUGUGAAUUAGUAAAAUUUAUUUCAAUUAAUUAAUUAAAUUAUUAAUAUUUUGGGAAAUAGAAAAUUUUUUAUUUGGUUGGUUAAAUUAUAUGAGUCGAUUAAAUUACUAAAUGGCACAUAUAAUUACACCAAAUACAUGAGAUAGACCCGAUGACCCAUCUCACGUAAGAUGGGCGACAACCCUAUCUCUAAAGAGAGGGUGUUGAAGCCCAUACAUAUUCCUACUAGAGAAUUAUGUGUAUUCUCUCUUAAAAUGUUAUUAUAUUUUUCUUCUUCUUGUUCGACCAAGACUCUUGCGAUUUUUCUAUAAAUAGAGAGCAUAGGCUAGGUCAACCACACACGAUGUGAAGCACCGACAUCGUAAAACUUUAUUGAGAUUUAAUUCAAAAAAAAUUCUAAAUAUGAAUGUUUACUUUUUUAGUUUUUGGCCCAUAAAGGGACAUCAAUAUUCGCCACUCCAACAUCAAUAGAAAGUUUUCAUAGGUUUCAUCCGUUCAUGGAUUAGAGCCUACGCUUUAACUAGCCGAGGUUUUUGAAUAGUUGAGAAGAUCGUGUUGGUAGAAUAUUGAGAAACAACUUAGACCGCCUAAUCCGGAGCACAAGUAUGAUUUUGGUAAAAGGGUUUGUCCCUAUAAAUAUAACAACUGCUUGGGUUUAGAAAAUUUUAAUUUUUUUGUUGUUCAAAAAAAUUAUUUUCUAAACGAAUGUUUCCAACACAAUCAAGAAUGAUCUCUAAUUUCUAAAUUGAAUAGGUCAGUAGUAAUUACUAGGUCUUUACAGUCCACAGCCAAAACUGGCGCUUUUCUAAUCUCCCAACUUCUUCGACAAACUUGCACAGCGUCUGUCUUCUCGAAUGUUCGAAUCUAUUGGGGACUUCUUUGCCACUUAUCAAAAGNNNNNNNNNNNNNNNNNNNNNNNNNNNNNNNNNNNNNNNNNNNNNNNNNNNNNNNNNNNNNNNNNNNNNNNNNNNNNNNNNNNNNNNNNNNNNNNNNNNNUGUAUUAGCUCUAUAGAUUCUCGAAGGUUUGCAUUUGAAUUGAUGAGAUGAAUAAAUAAAAUUGAUGAAUUACAGAAAAGGAUUGAAUGUAUCACUAUCCGUAGUGAAUGGAAUUUCUCGUUAUAAAAGAGAGAUGACUUAAAGACUAAAUUAAUUUAUUCGAAUUAUUAUUUAAUUAAUAGAAAUCACUGAACCGGUGUUUGAAGUAAAAAUUAAAUUAAUUAAUAAAUGCAAUCUGGUUGAACAAGAUAAUUAAAUUCAUUUACUCAUAGAUUCUAGUGUGGUAAAUAUGUCAUGAAUUUAACGGAACUAGAACUAGGUUUGGAAAAUAAUUUAAUUGUGUGAAUUAGUAAAAUUUAUUUCAAUUAAUUAAUUAAAUUAUUAAUAUUUUGGGAAAUAGAAAAUUUUUUAUUUGGUUGGUUAAAUUAUAUGAGUCGAUUAAAUUACUAAAUGGCACAUAUAAUUACACCAAAUACAUGAGAUAGACCCGAUGACCCAUCUCACGUAAGAUGGGCGACAACCCUAUCUCUAAAGAGAGGGUGUUGAAGCCCAUACAUAUUCCUACUAGAGAAUUAUGUGUAUUCUCUCUUAAAAUGUUAUUAUAUUUUUCUUCUUCUUGUUCGACCAAGACUCUUGUGAUUUUUCUAUAAAUAGAGAGCAUAGGCUAGGUCAACCACACACGAUGUGAAGCACCGACAUCGUAAAACUUUAUUGAGAUUUAAUUCAAAAAAAAUUCUAAAUAUGAAUGUUUACUUUUUUAGUUUUUGGCCCAUAAAGGGACAUCAAUAUUCGCCACUCCAACAUCAAUAGAAAGUUUUCAUAGGUUUCAUCCGUUCAUGGAUUAGAGCCUACGCUUUAACUAGCCGAGGUUUUUGAAUAGUUGAGAAGAUCGUGUUGGUAGAAUAUUGAGAAACAACUUAGACCGCCUAAUCCGGAGCACAAGUAUGAUUUUGGUAAAAGGGUUUGUCCCUAUAAAUAUGACAACUGCUUGGGUUUAGAAAAUUUUAAUUUUUUUGUUGUUCAAAAAAAUUAUUUUCUAAACGAAUGUUUCCAACACAAUCAAGAAUGAUCUCUAAUUUCUAAAUUGAAUAGGUCAGUAGUAAUUACUAGGUCUUUACAGUCCACAGCCAAAACUGGCGCUUUUCUAAUCUCCCAACUUCUUCGACAAACUUGCACAGCGUCUGUCUUCUCGAAUGUUCGAAUCUAUUGGGGACUCAUUAACCACAUUAUUCGAUAAUGAUGCGACACCAUUUUAUGUUUAAUUAUUGCAUAUAAAAAAAUUGAACCCCAAAAAGGAGAAUGAGAGAACAUUUUGUGGAACUGUAUAAAGAUUUUUAGAAAGGAGCGAGAUUAAGUGUAGUGUUUGGGUAUCUUGCGAUUAUCACUUAAAGAUCCCUAAAUUUGUUGAUGUGAUUUGUAGUUUUUGCUUUUAGAUUCUCGAAGGUUAGUCUCUUUUUCUUAUUUUUGUGUGUUUGGCUUGAAACCUUUUUUUCAUGGUUUCUUUUCUGAUUCGGGGUUCAUGUUGGAAAUGCAUUUAGAAAAGUAGCUAGGGUAGGAACAUUAGAGUUUUAAUUUCUAUAGUAAAAUGAGAAUUUAUCGUGACAUCUAAAGUAAUAAAUUUGAUCAAAUUAAAUCGUUAUGGUCCAAGGCUUAGGGGAUGUCCAAGUCGCAACGAAAGUUUGGGAGAUGCCUUCAUUGUCUUGAUCAAUUCGAAUAGUUGUCCAAUGUCUUCAACCUUUCUACUGAACGAUUUUCUUCCCAAUUCUUGAACACUCAGGUGCUUGGAAAGUGGGAUGUCACUGAAAAAGUAAAGCACAAGACGUGAAUCGAGACUUCUCAAGCAGCUAUGCAUCUAGCUCUUUGCGUCCUAUCCAAAGCUGAAAAGAAGACGUAAACCGAGACUAAUCAAGGAGGUAUGUCAACUACGUCUUUGUGUUCUACCCAAUCAAAAACAACUCCUAUAAUUCAAUUAUUCUCUUUAGAAGAAUGUCAUUAUAAUCUUAAAAAUCUAAAUUACAAAGUCUGAAAAGAUAGAAUUGAUUUGAGUUGAAAGAAAAUAAAAUCUAACUAAUAUUUCAAUAAAUUUCAACAAAGUUUUCUCUUAGUAUAUAUUGUCCUUGGUUUUUUUUUACAUAAAUUGGGUAUUGAUAAAGAAACAUAUGAUAGAGUUAUAUUUGUAUCCGAUGUACAUAAAACAAAUAAUAUAGAAGAACUAAAGUCCAACUAGGACAUUUUUAACCCCAUGGCCAGCGACUCCAAGAGAUAAUUCUCUUUGUGUGUGGAGCCACACUUACCUUAGUGGUUUGUUCUCCAGUUUAAUUAUACGAGCCUACCUCUCUUGACUUAAAUAAGAAAUCAAGACCAUAUGAUUAUCUAACCCAAUAGCAUAUAUUCUUCCAUGAAUUAAGUUUUUUGAAAUUAAUUAUUUCAUUAAAUUUAAUUAUUUCCAUUACUUAAUCUACAAAACCCCAUUCAAUUUUUGUUAGAAUCAUGAAAGCUUUUCCAUACUAGAAUUUAUAUGCAAAUUAAUUUAAUUAUUUGAACAGGAAAUAACUACGUUAACUACUUAAUUUAAUCCUCACUUUGGACUUAUUUAUUUAAUUUAUUCAUUGAAUUAAAUAACAAACCGACGGAAUUAAAUUAAUUUCGUGUCAUCUUUUCCAUUCUCAUGAAAUCGCAUUUACAUGGAAUAGUAAUUCAUUCCAUCUAAUUCUAAUAUAUCAUUUCAUCCAUGCAUUCAAUCAGUUCUUAUUAUGCAAUCUACUUAGAGUUAUAUUAAGCUAGCAGAGGGAUCGAUUGUACAUAAAUAAUUAGGGCUUAAAUAAAAUCUUAAUUAGAAUUUAUUUAGUUGUAGACUCAAUCUACUAAAAGUGCCAUGAUCGAUCUCACCAAUAUAUAAUGUUACGAAAGCUAAGCUUGUAAAGCUUUGUCCAUUUACCUUGUCAAAUGCAUGUUACUAUCAUAGAAUGCCGAUCAUCUAUUUAGGUUCAAUAUUUUCCCACUAAUUCGAUCCAUUUUAUCUCAUGGUCAGUUUGUAUCUUCUAGAAUGAGGGUAAAGGUGAACGUGAGGAUUCAUAAAAGGGUGAUAAUGAAAGGGGUGGUGUUGGUGAUGAAAAGUCAUACCUUGUGAAAUUCGAUACGUGUUAGAUGGGGAUGAUGAUAAGAAAUUACAAGAUGCUUGAGAGAAGUUGAGGAAAUUAAAAGAUAAAAGUAAAUCUAUUUGGAAAGAGAAGUCAAAUGGCCAUCAGGUUUUCACUAAUAAUUGUUACGUGGGUGAAGUUUAGGCUGAAGUCCAGGGCGAAUGUUAGCUCGACUAGGUAUUAUAGGGCCAGGAAAACAGUGAUUGAGAAGAGUGCUAGAAACCACCAGAAUUGCAUUCGGCAAUAUGGUGUGAACCUUCGUCAACCACCAAACCACAUUACUGUAUCAACAAUUUUUAUUGAAUAAUUAGGAUUAUACUUUUCGAAAUAACAUUGAUAAAUUUAACGGAACAUAAUUAUAUUCGCCACCAUCUAGUAAAGAUAUUAUUUUGAAGAUAAAAUGUAAAAUAAUGCUUUUCAAUCUUUCCAUAAUAAAAUCCUUUCACAUAGUUUAAAUUAUUAAAGUUGAGAAAAAAUUAACCACAAAACUAUCUAACCGUGCGAAGUUGAUAUUAAAGAAACAAGCUAAUCAUAGAUAUUGAAGCUUGGCCAUAUGACUUUUCCACAUUGAUUAAAUAGUAAUAUAUUUGGUUGGUUGUAAUUUUCUCAAAAUUUCUAUAUAUUUGGAAAAAAACAAAAGGAAAAGCCAUUCUUCGUGUAAUUUCAAAACCAAAUAAAAACAUGGCACCACACCUUAAUAUUGUUCCUUCCAUGUUUGUGCUUUUAUUAUUAUUCAUUUCAGCCUCUAAAGUUCAAUCAGGCGCUAUUGAUGUUGUUGCCAAGUUUGGCGCAAAAGCUGACGGGAAAACGGAUUUGAGUAAGGCAAGUUGAAUUGCUCUUAACUUUGUACCCAAAGGCGAAAAUAUGAAAAAAAUUAUAUUUCAAACUGAUGUCUUUAUUCAUUUCAUUUUAGCCAUUUUUGGAUGCUUGGAAAGAAGCAUGUGCCUCUGUAACCCCAUCAACAGUUGUGAUUCCUAAAGGGACAUAUUUAUUAUCAAAAGUAAACUUAGAAGGUCCAUGCAAGGCUCCUAUUGAGAUUAAUGUUCAGGGCACUAUAAAGGCUCCGGCUGAUCCCAGUGCUUUCAAGGACCCUAAUUGGGUUAGAUUCUAUAGUAUUGAAAAUUUCAAAAUGUCCGGCGGAGGAAUUUUCGAUGGUCAGGGAAGCAUUGCUUAUGAGAAGAAUAAAGAUCCCCACAAUCGUGCAUUUCGCGUCAAACUCCCCGUUGUCAGCUUUCUUCCCUCUUGCCAAAAUUUAUUUUUUCUCUUUCCUCUUAUUAUUAUCCAAAUAUAAUUAUAACUAACAUCUUUGUUUCGUGUGUUACUUUGUUAACUCCAAAAUUAAACAGAAUAUAAGGUUUGACUUUUUGACCAACGCAUUGAUACAAGAUAUAACUAGCAAAGACAGUAAACUAUUCCACGUUAAUGUUUUUGCAUGCAAAAACAUUACCCUCGAACGUUUCAAGGUAGAGGCACCGGCAGAUAGCCCAAACACAGAUGGGAUUCACAUGGGCAAAUCAGACGGGGUAAAUCUUAUUGGAUGUGACAUUAAAACUGGUGAUGAUUGUAUUUCUAUCGGAGAUGGCACUAAAAAUUUGGCCAUAAAAGAUAUCACUUGUGGACCAGGACAUGGUAUAAGUAUCGGUAGUCUUGGAAAGUACCCAAAUGAAGAGCCAGUUGAGGGAGUUAAAGUCACAAACUGCACCAUCACUAAUACUUCGAAUGGAGCUCGAAUCAAAACUUGGCCAGGCGAAUCUCCUGGGGUAGUAUCAGAUGUACAUUUUGAGGAUAUUAUCAUGAAUAAUGUCUCUUCCCCUAUCCUAAUUGAUCAAAAAUAUUGCCCAUGGAGCAAAUGCAAGAUAAAUGUAUGUACAUUCUUAUCAAAAUCCUAAUAGAGUGACAAUAUUUAAUUGAUCAUUGAAUCAUUGUUGUGUUGAUGCAGGAAGAAUCGAAAGUUAAACUAAGCAACAUUAGCUUCAAGAACAUCCGUGGCACAUCUGCGCUUCCAGAAGCUAUCAAGUUUAUUUGCAGCGGUUCUUCGCCAUGUCAAAAUGUGGAACUUGCAGACAUCGAUAUUAAGCACACCGGACCUGAACCCGCAACAUCCCAAUGUUUGAAUGUCAAGCCUAUAACUAGUGGCAAAUUAAACCCGACUCCAUGUUCCAGCCCUGUCCCAAAAACCCUAAGUGCCACCGCUUAAAGCAUACCAACAAAUUCAAUGCAAUUGUAAUU